AGGGCUUCCAAAAUCUCCAACUCCCUAUUUUCAAAGAGAGCACGUUAACUCUCCCUCGUCAUUUUCAUUUCCCUCUAGCAGCUUCUCUGCCUUUCCUCUUCAGAAAUUUCCAAACGCCUCCACCUUUGCAUACUCGAGCCCAAUUCCACCUUUUCGGAAUCAUAAACAAAACCAUUUCUAAUUGCAAACCCGACGAGUUCCUCACGAACUCAUCCUCCCUUCCAUCAACUGCGCACUCAAGUUCGCAGCUUCUUCUGUAGGGUAAAAUCCCAAAGCUUGUUCCAAUAUGCUCAUGUAUGUGUUCUGUAUAUGAAAAUCCAUACGAGAAUUCCCUGAAAUUCAAUCACGGUGGUGGCUCCGGCGGCUUCUAUUUAGAUGAUAGGUAUGGGGGAUACAAUCGAAGCCUAUCUGAUUUGGGUUCGGAUCCAUAUGGGAAGCGGUAUGAUGCAGGUCCCGAUGCGGGUAUGGCGACGGUGUAAGCUUACGAAGGUGAUAAUUCCAUUCCUGCAAUGGCUAAUAAUCUCGCCCCAGCUUUAGACAAAAAAUUGGUUUUGCAUGAAGAUUCUAAAGAUGCAUCCUCCCAUAAAAAAUGAGGGUCACAAGAUGACAAGUCCCUGGUUGUUUGCUUUAGGGAAAUGCUAAUUGACUUUGUGCCCACCGUUGGUGGAGUUUCACUUGCUGAAGCACCUGCUUUUAAGAAAGCUCCUGGUGGUGCUCCUGCUAAUGUUGCUGUUGGAGUCGCAAGACUGGGUGGUUCAGCAGGUUUCAUAGGCAAGACAUGUAUUCGAACGAUGUUUUCUCUCAUAUCGCCUCGACACCGUUACAAGAUGUGAUAAAACCGACUCAUCUACCUUCGCCUUUUAGUCAAAGAGCUCUGUGGAUAUUAAGCCAAGACGUAUUAGAUUGCAGUCAAAUAGUUACACUGCCAAUACCCUUUUGGAUACAGUGACUACUGCAACUGUACAGGUCCCCGAUGAGGCAAUAACAAAAUGCAUGGCCUAUGGGUCAGAUUUUGGGGCUUUAUACAUCUCAGGGAGGCAGUAUAGAUCUCCAAAGAACUAAGAAUGGCGUAAAAUAGGUUCCUAAUUCCAGUUACCAGUUUCCAAAUCAUCUCCCCAUGUAUGAAACUGAUUUUGUUUAACUUGUCUCGAUGUCUUCAACUGGAGAAAUAGAAUUAACAAAUCCUAAGGCGAAAGUUCAUCACAUAGUGCUUGGUCCUGAUUGCUAGAAAUUUUGGGUAACUGUUGUCAGAGUGGAGAAUUUAUCUUUGUACCGCCCUACAAGUGAAUUUGUGUCCUAGAGGAUGCUAUAUCUAAUACAAUUGCUUGGCCAUCAAAGUAAGUUAGAGUUGGAAAGUAAUUUUAGUU